GACGAACGCUGGCGGCGUGCUUAACACAUGCAAGUCGAACGAAGUGGCGAACGGGUGAGUAAUACGUGAGUAACUGCCCUACUUUUUGGGAUAAGCCUUGGAAACGGGGUCUAAUACCGAAUAAAGGGGGUUGGCGCGCGUCCUAUCUGCUGGUUGGUGGGGUAGGGGCCUACCAAGGCGACGACGGGUAGCCGGCCUGGGAGGUCGACCGCCCACGUUGGGCUACGAGACGGCCCAAACUCCUACGGGCGGCAGCGGUGGGGAGUAUUGCACAAUGGGGGCAACUCUGAGCAGGCAACGCCGGGUGCGGGAUGACGGCCUUCUGGUGGUGAACCGCUUUCAGCCAUGACGCGGUAGUGGCAGAAGAAGCACCGGCUAACUACGUGCCAGCAGCCGCGGUAAUAC
rnacentral:rRNA from 1 species